rnacentral:misc_RNA from 1 species
GAAAUGCGAUACGUAAUGCGAAUUGCAGAAUUCAGUGAAUCAUCAAAUCUUUGAACGCAAAUUGCGCUCUUGGGUAGCCCUAGGAGCACGCCUCUCUCAGUAUCGGUUCAACAAUCUCUCAGCAGCGUAUAGCAAUAUACGUGUUCGCUGGAUAAUGAGAGUCUGAGAAUUUAUUCUCAGUCUCU